rnacentral:lncRNA from 1 species
GAGACGGUGGGAAGCAAUACUUAGAUCUCCUUCUUUCGAGCAAAUCAGAGCUACGACGCCGUCGUUGGCAGCCGCCGGAGUUGAUGGAGAUAAAUAAGGUUUGAAGAUCUAUGUAAAUGACGGAAUGUGAAAUACGGGGAGAUGCAAUGUUUACGAUACAGUAAAACGAAGUACCGUAUCAGUUUACGGUGGAGGGAUCGUGAUCGGCGUAGUAGAGGAAGAGAUGCAGGCAAAAGUCUAUUGGAGAAGAAGAAGAAGAAGAACAAUAACAAUUUCAUCCAUUAAUUAAAUUUAUCUAAUUGCCCCUUUAUUAUGGUAAACAUUACAAUAAUGCCCAAAUUUAAUGAUCUUUCGCUAUGACUUACCAAAUCGGACCGGUUAGCUUCCGAUUAGAAUUCUUCUAUUGCGAAACCCAAACCGGGGUAAAUAUGUAAUUUGAUAAAACGCUUAAAUUCUCGUCGUGUUCGUUCCACAGCAAUGGCGGAAACUCAGUGCACAGAAACUACAAAAUCAGAUCUUGAUUCCGGGAAUCUACUUCUGAAUCCGAGCUAAAGCAUCUCUAGAUCCGAUCAGAUCCGCUCCGUUUCUCUCCUCCUUCGACUCAGUGGAAUGCAUUGCUAGAAUCUAGAGAGAACACGCGGGAGAAAACAAACCAUGAGAAUGUCAUCGGCUUCCGCCGCGGAACACCGUUCCGUUUCGCUCGGUAGCAGCGGAGGCGGCGGUCAAAGAGACGCUGAGUCCCUCCUCCGCUCGAAACCGAUGUCGGAGAUCCGGAGCGUGGAGUCGGCGACUAGGAAGAACAUCGAGGACAAGAAGGAGGAGCUCCGGCAGCUCGUCGGGACUCGGUAUCGGGAUCUGAUCGACUCAGCUGACUCGAUUGUGCACAUGAAGUCGCUCUGCGAGUCGAUCUCGGCGAACAUCUCCUCGAUCCACGGCAACAUUCGAUCCCUUUCCUCCUCCUCGGAAGCGAAAACCCCCGCGCUCGCUAUCACUGACCCGGCCCGAGUCAAUGUGUUUGGGAUCGCGUGUCGGGUCAAGUAUCUGGUGGAUACUCCGGAGAAUAUAUGGGGCUGCCUGGACGAGUCCAUGUUUCUAGAAGCUGCUGGGAGGUACAUGCGUGCUCAGCACGUGCAGCAGAGACUUGUUAAGUUAGAGGAGGUGGAUCAGAGUAAACUGUUGGCUAAUUUUCCGUUACUUGAGCAUCAGUGGCAGAUAGUGGAGGGCUUCAAGGCUCAGAUUUCUCAGAGGAGCCAUGAGCGGCUUCUUGAUCCGGGUUUAGGACUUGGGGAUUAUGUUGACGCGUUAACUGCUGUAGCAGUGGUUGAUGAGCUUGAUCCGAAGGAGGUUCUUGAGCUGUUUCUCGACUCGAGGAAGACUUGGGUUCUGCAAAAGUUGAAUGCUUGUAGUGGCGGUGAUGCUGGGAGUGUUGUUUCGGUGUUUUGUGAUGUGUUGAGUGUGGUUCAGGUUACUGUGGGGCAAGUCGGUGAGCUUUUUUUGCAAGCGUUGACUGAUAUGCCUCUGUUUUAUAAGACGAUUUUGAGUACACCUCCGGCUUCUCAGCUGUUUGGUGGGAUUCCGAAUCCGGAAGAGGAGGUUGCGUUGUGGAAAUUGUUUAGAGAUAAUUUGGAAUCUGUUAUGGUUAUUUUUGAGAAAGUUGAUAUUUCUAAGGCGUGUCUGGCAUGGUUGAGGGAAUGCGGUGGACAUAUUGUUGGUAAGGUUAGUGGGAAGCGUUUGAUUGAAGCUAUUGUUACUGGUGCAGAGCUUGGAUCAGCGGAAAAGUUGAUAAGAGAGACCAUGGAUAGUAAAGAGGUAUUGAGUGGUAGUUUAGAUUGGCUUAAAAGUGUUUUUGGGUCUGAGAUAGAGCUGCCUUGGAAUAGAAUCCGGGAGCUUGUUCUAGCAGACGAUUUGAACCUAUGGGAUGAAAUAUUUGAGGAGGCAUUUGUGGAAAGAAUGAAAUCCAUUAUUGACUCUAGAUUUGAGGAUUUGGCUAAAGCUGUCAAUGUGGCAGAGUUGGUUCAUGCUUAUAGCGAGAUCACUGGUGAGAAGAUCAACUUCCAAGCAUACUUAAACAGACCUUCUACAGGUGGUGGUGUCUGGUUCAUCGAGCCUAACGCUAGGAAACCUGGUUUUAUUGCCGGAAACAAAAUGUCACCUGAAGAAAGCGACUUCCAAAGUUGUCUAACGGCGUACUUUGGUCCUGAAGUUAGCCAAAUCAGAGAUGCAGUUGAUCACCGCUGCCAGAAUGUUUUAGAAGACCUCCUAAGCUUCUUUGAGUCAGAAAAGGCAGGUCCGAGGUUAAAGGAUCUUGCUCCAUACGUACAGAGUAAAUGUUAUGACAGUGUCUCAGCACUUCUCGCAGAUGUAGAUAAGGAACUCGAAUCUCUCUGCGCUGCCAUGAAGAAAGGAAACAACGACAGCGAAGCAAUUCCACCUGCUAUAAUAAUUGAGAAAUCGCUUUUUAUGGGACGCCUUUUGUUUGCAUUGCUAAACCACUCAAAACACCUUCCCUUGAUUCUCGGUUCUCCAAGGUUGUGGUGUAGAGACAUUAUGACUGCAGUUUCUGAUAAGUUGUCAUCCUUGUUGAGACAACCAAGAUUUGGCUCGAAUACUGCAGGGACUCCUGACAGCCCUGGAAAGCUGUUGCAUACCGAUCUUAGGAAGCAGAGUUCGUUAGCUGUUGCGGCACUACUUAAGGCAGACGAGAAGACAAGUCCAAAAUUCGAAGAGCUUAAUAAAACUAUGCGAGAUAUGUGCAUUAAGGCUCAUACAUUGUGGAUACAGUGGUUAUCGGAUGAGCUCUCCGCUAUUCUCUUGCGGGAUCUUAGGAUUGACGAUGGACUGUCUGCUACAACUCCUUUAAGGGUAACUAAAAGCUGAUUCUUAUCCUUAUUUUUCUUAGUUGUCGUCUCUCUCCUGCAUUGAUAUUAGAUAUUGCUGACUAAUAUUCAUAGUUAGUUGUUCGCUUUCUUUGUUUUUGGUGGAAAUAUUUCCAGGAACUACUUUAUAUCUUGAUUCUUUGAAGUUCAAUGAGAUAGUUUAGUCUUGCUCUUUUGUUGUGUCUGAACUCAUCUUUGAAGUGAUAAUACAGGGUUGGGAGGAGACAAUAGUCAAGGAAGAGCAGGGCGAGAGUGAGUUGAAGAUAUCACUUCCGUCCUUGCCUUCGCUCUAUAUAAUUUCAUUUCUCUGUCGGGCAUCAGAAGAGAUUCAUCGAAUUGGAGGCCACGUACUGGAUAAGUCAAUUUUGCAAAAGUUUGCUUCAAGCCUGUUGGAGAAGGUGCGUUGUCUUGUCUCUGUUUACUUACUUUCCUGUGAUUAUUUUCUACAUGCUGCAGAAGUGUUUCUGGCAAGGAACAAUGUUCUAUUAAAAAUAUUUGUGAUAGUUAUUCCCUUCUUCACACUUGUUCCCUUUCAUCAGUAAAUAUCUCCAAGCUAGUGAUUGCUUAUAAAAAUGAUUUUUUUUUCAAUGUUCCAUUGUACAAUGCAGAUCAUCAUUAUUUAUGAGGAUUUCUUAUCUGCCAGGGAGGCCAACGAACCCCAAAUUUCAGAGAAGGGGGUUUUACAAAUUUUACUGGAUUUGAGAUUUGCAUCGGACAUUCUUUCUGGGGGUGAUACAAGCACCAAUGUGGAGAUACAACCAAAGAUCACAAUGAACAGAUCAGCUUUCAGGCGAAAGCAGGGCCAACAGCAAACAAAGUCAGUCAACAGAGGUCGCAUUGAUGGAGUAAUCUCCCAACUGACCCAAAAGUUGGAUCCUAUAGACUGGCUCACGUAAGGAACCUUAUCCCUAAACUAUGACCAAGCACAUCUUUACUAACAAGUUCAUGGGAAUCAUCUCAUCUUAUCGUUUAUUGUCUCAAUCAUUCUCUGAUGCUUGUGUUUUGAAAUGUCUAAAAAAGGUACGAGCCUUAUCUUUGGGAGAACGAAAAGCAGUCAUACCUACGCCACGCAGUACUAUUUGGAUUCUUUGUGCAACUAAACCGAAUGUACACAGAUACUUCCCAGAAACUACCAAGUAACUCAGAGUCAAAUAUCAUGCCAUGCUCCACAGUUCCCCGCUUCAAAUACCUUCCCAUAAGGUAAGCUUUUCUUCUUCCACACCUGAAACUAUUUGUAGCCUUGUGGGAAAAAUGGUUUCUCAUAUCCGGUUAAUUCAGCGCUCCGGCUCUGUCCUCUAGAAGUACAAAUAAGGUCUCCACUCCAGUUACAUCAAAUGAAAGUUCGUCAAGAAACUCAUGGAAUGCAUUUACAAAUGGCGAGCUUUCUCAAACAAGUGAUUUGGAAGAUGACUCCAGUUUCGGCGUGGCUUCCCCGUUCUUAAAGUCUUUCAUGCAGGUACAGUCUAGUCUCCUCGGUUGAUCAGUGGCUCAAUAUUUUUUCAUAAUCUGUUCAAUAUCGUAAGAUCAUGUAAUAUAUGUUUCAGGCUGGUAGUAGAUUUGGGUCAAUACUAAGUGACGGACAAGUUGGAAUAUUCAAGGAUAGAUCAGCAGCCGCUAUGUCGACAUUUGGGGAUAUAAUACCAUCUCAAGCAGCCGGUUUACUCUCUUCUUUCACAACCACCAGGUACGAGUGAUGAUAUGACGAUCUUCGGUUUUGUGAGUCUAAACCGAUGAUGAUUGCAGCAGUUGAGAUAUCUGCCAUUAUAGAAGUUUUUACAUUAAAGAAGAGAACAAGUUUUGUAACUCUGUUUGAUUUAUUGUUUCAUGUAAUUAAGAGAUUUGGUUCUACAAAAAUCCUCAGACUGAAUACAAUCAAACCCUCAUACAUAUAAAGUUUUAAUAUCAUUGCAAAAAAAACUGAUUAAGGUAUUAACGUCUAGCUUUCUCAAUGAGAGGCUUGAGCUUCUUCUUGUCUGCAAGAAUCUUGAGGAAGUUGAAGAGGAAAGGGACAUAGUUAUGUUUCCUCCUCAAGUUCUCUUUCUUCCAGUUCUUGGCCCUCUCUUCCUCCAUUACAAUCUUCUGCGACACUGUCUCGAUGCCGACAUUGACUUCAGAAAGAGACUUAUCCAGAGCCUCGUAGCUGCUCUUCUCAGCGUACUUAUCAGCUUGCAGUGCACCCACCUGCUGCAGAAUCCUCUCCCGCUUCAUCUGAUACUCUUUCAGCUCAGCUCGGUACAUCUCUUUCCUGUUCUUAACCACAGCCAAGAGACUAAACCGGAUCUCGUUCUGGAGAUACCGGUCAAUCCUCUCUUGCACCACAGGUUGGACCAUUUUGAGCCACUCGAUUCCUUCUGGCUCACCGAGACAUUGUCCAAGGCUGAUGGGUCCUUCUUUAAGACCAUCUAGCUCGUAUAAGAUACCAUCGACAGGUAAGUAGCUGAUGUAGUGAUACACAUCAUCAUCAUCCUCUUCCUUUUUCUUCCUCCUAGCAGAUAACUCAUCCUCGUCCGUGGUGGUGGAAGAUGAGUCAGGCCUAGCAAAGGUGUUGUGAGCCGCACGUAUCGCCUCGUUGUUGCUGAUGGCUAAACCUUUGAGCUCAGGUGGGAAGUCUUUAGCGAACUCUUUCAGUUCAGACAGUUCAGAACCGAUCUCGAUACCCGAGGAGUUCAUGAGGACAGACAGUAAGGCUUGUGUAGCACAAGCAUUUGACGCGUUAACUGCUGUAGCAGUGGUUGAUGAGCUUGAUCCGAAGGAGGUUCUUGAGUUGUUUCUCGACUCGAGGAAGACUUGGGUUCUGCAAAAGUUGAAUGCUUGUAGUGGUGAUGAUGCUGGGAGUGUUGUUUCGGUGUUUUGUGAUGUGUUGAGUGUGGUUCAGGUUACUGUGGGACAAGUCGGUGAGCUUUUUUUGCAAGCGUUGACUGAUAUGCCUCUGUUUUAUAAGACGAUUUUGAGCACCCCUCCGGCUUCUCAGCUGUUUGGUGGGAUUCCGAAUCCGGAAGAGGAGGUUGCGCUGUGGAAAUUGUUUAGAGAUAAUUUGGAAUCUGUUAUGGUUAUCUUUGAUAAAGUUGAUAUUUCUAAGGCGUGCCUGACUUGGUUGAGGGAAUGCGGUGGAAAGAUUGUUGGUAAGGUUAGUGGGAAGCGUUUGAUUGAAGCUAUUGUUACUGGUGCGGAGCUUGGAUCAGCGGAGAAGUUGAUCAGAGAGACCAUGGAUAGUAAAGAGGUAUUGAGUGGUAGUUUAGAUUGGCUUAAAAGUGUUUUUGGGUCUGAGAUAGAGCUGCCUUGGAAUAGAAUCCGGGAGCUUGUUCUAGCAGACGAUUUGAACCUAUGGGAUGAAAUAUUUGAGGAGGCAUUUGUGGAAAGAAUGAAAUCCAUUAUUGACUCUAGAUUUGAGGAUUUGGCUAAAGCUGUCAAUGUGGCAGAGUUGGUUCAUGCUUAUAGCGAGAUCACUGGUGAGAAGAUCAACUUCCAAGCAUACUUAAACAGACCUUCUACAGGUGGUGGUGUCUGGUUCAUCGAGCCUAACGCUAGGAAACCUGGUUUUAUUGCCGGAAACAAAAUGUCACCUGAAGAAAGCGACUUCCAAAGUUGUCUAACGGCGUACUUUGGUCCUGAAGUUAGCCAAAUCAGAGAUGCAGUUGAUCACCGCUGCCAGAAUGUUUUAGAAGACCUCCUAAGCUUCUUUGAGUCAGAAAAGGCAGGUCCGAGGUUAAAGGAUCUUGCUCCAUACGUACAGAGUAAAUGUUAUGACAGUGUCUCAGCACUUCUCGCAGAUGUAGAUAAGGAACUCGAAUCUCUCUGCGCUGCCAUGAAGAAAGGAAACAACGACAGCGAAGCAAUUCCACCUGCUAUAAUAAUUGAGAAAUCGCUUUUUAUGGGACGCCUUUUGUUUGCAUUGCUAAACCACUCAAAACACCUUCCCUUGAUUCUCGGUUCUCCAAGGUUGUGGUGUAGAGACAUUAUGACUGCAGUUUCUGAUAAGUUGUCAUCCUUGUUGAGACAACCAAGAUUUGGCUCGAAUACUGCAGGGACUCCUGACAGCCCUGGAAAGCUGUUGCAUACCGAUCUUAGGAAGCAGAGUUCGUUAGCUGUUGCGGCACUACUUAAGGCAGACGAGAAGACAAGUCCAAAAUUCGAAGAGCUUAAUAAAACUAUGCGAGAUAUGUGCAUUAAGGCUCAUACAUUGUGGAUACAGUGGUUAUCGGAUGAGCUCUCCGCUAUUCUCUUGCGGGAUCUUAGGAUUGACGAUGGACUGUCUGCUACAACUCCUUUAAGGGUAACUAAAAGCUGAUUCUUAUCCUUAUUUUUCUUAGUUGUCGUCUCUCUCCUGCAUUGAUAUUAGAUAUUGCUGACUAAUAUUCAUAGUUAGUUGUUCGCUUUCUUUGUUUUUGGUGGAAAUAUUUCCAGGAACUACUUUAUAUCUUGAUUCUUUGAAGUUCAAUGAGAUAGUUUAGUCUUGCUCUUUUGUUGUGUCUGAACUCAUCUUUGAAGUGAUAAUGCAGGGUUGGGAGGAGACAAUAGUCAAGGAAGAGCAGGGCGAGAGUGAGUUGAAGAUAUCACUUCCGUCCUUGCCUUCGCUCUAUAUAAUUUCAUUUCUCUGUCGGGCAUCAGAAGAGAUUCAUCGAAUUGGAGGCCACGUACUGGAUAAGUCAAUUUUGCAAAAGUUUGCUUCAAGCCUGUUGGAGAAGGUGCGUUGUCUUGUCUCUGUUUACUUACUUUCCUGUGAUUAUUUUCUACAUGCUGCAGAAGUGUUUCUGGCAAGGAACAAUGUUCUAUUAAAAAUAUUUGUGAUAGUUAUUCCCUUCUUCACACUUGUUCCCUUUCAUCAGUAAAUAUCUCCAAGCUAGUGAUUGCUUAUAAAAAUGAUUUUUUUUUCAAUGUUCCAUUGUACAAUGCAGAUCAUCAUUAUUUAUGAGGAUUUCUUAUCUGCCAGGGAGGCCAACGAACCCCAAAUUUCAGAGAAGGGGGUUUUACAAAUUUUACUGGAUUUGAGAUUUGCAUCGGACAUUCUUUCUGGGGGUGAUACAAGCACCAAUGUGGAGAUACAACCAAAGAUCACAAUGAACAGAUCAGCUUUCAGGCGAAAGCAGGGCCAACAGCAAACAAAGUCAGUCAACAGAGGUCGCAUUGAUGGAGUAAUCUCCCAACUGACCCAAAAGUUGGAUCCCAUAGACUGGCUCACGUAAGGAACCUUAUUCAUAAACUCUGAACAUGUCACAUGUUUACUAUUUUGUCCGUUCUAAGAAAUUCAUGGGAAUCUUGUGGUCUUAUCGUUUACUGUCUCAAUUAUUUUCUGAUUCUAGUAUAUUUUGAAAUGUGUCAAAAAAAGGUACGAGCCUUAUCUCUGGGAGAACGAAAAGCAGUCAUACCUACGCCACGCAGUACUAUUUGGAUUCUUUGUGCAACUAAACCGAAUGUACACAGAUACUUCCCAGAAACUACCAAGUAACUCAGAGUCAAAUAUCAUGCCAUGCUCCACAGUUCCCCGCUUCAAAUACCUUCCCAUAAGGUAAGCUUUUCUUCUUCCACACCUGAAACUAUUUGUAGCCUUGUGGGAAAAAUGGUUUCUCAUAUCCGGUUAAUGCAGCGCUCCGGCUCUGUCCUCUAGAAGUACAAAUAAGGUCUCCACUCCAGUUACAUCAAAUGAAAGUUCGUCAAGAAACUCAUGGAAUGCAUUUACAAAUGGCGAGCUUUCUCAAACAAGUGAUUUGGAAGAUGACUCCAGUUUCGGCGUGGCUUCCCCGUUCUUAAAGUCUUUCAUGCAGGUACAGUCUAGUCUCCUCGGUUGAUCAGUGGCUCAAUAGUUUUUCAUAAUUUGUUCAAUAUCGUAAGAUCAUGUAAUAUAUGUUUCAGGCUGGUAGUAGAUUUGGGUCAAUACUAAGUGACGGACAAGUUGGAAUAUUCAAGGAUAGGUCAGCAGCCGCUAUGUCGACAUUUGGUGAUAUAAUACCAUCUCAAGCAGCCGGUUUACUCUCUUCUUUCACAACCACAAGGUACGAGUGAUGAUGAUGAUCUUCGGUUUUGUGACUAAACCUAUGAUGAUUGCAGCAGCUGAGAUAUCUGCCAUUAAAGAAGUUUUUACAUAAACGAAGAGUACAAGUUUUGUAAUUGUGUUCGAUUUAUUGUUUCAUGUAAUUAAGAGAUUUGGUUCUACAAAAAUCCUCAAGACUGAUACAAUCAAACCCUCAUACAUAUAAAGUUUUAAUAUCCUUGCAAAAAACUGAUUAAGGUAUUAACGUCUAGCUUUCUCAAUGAGAGGCUUGAGCUUCUUCUUGUCUGCAAGAAUCUUGAGGAAGUUGAAGAGGAAAGGGACAUAGUUAUGUUUCCUCCUCAAGUUCUCUUUCUUCCAGUUCUUAGCCCUCUCUUCCUCCAUUACAAUCUUCUGCGACACUGUCUCGAUGCCGACAUUGACUUCAGAAAGAGAUUUAUCCAGAGCCUCGUAACUGCUCUUCUCGGCGUACUUAUCAGCUUGCAGUGUACCCACCUGCUGCAGAAUCCUCUCCCGCUUCAUCUGAUACUCUUUCAGCACAGCUCGGUACAUCUCUUUCCUGUUCUUAACCACAGCCAAGAGACUAAACCGGAUCUCGUUCUGGAGAUACCGGUCAAUCCUCUCUUGCACCACAGGUUGGACCAUUCUGAGCCAUUCGAUUCCGUCUGGCUCACCGAGACAUUGUCCAAGGCUGAUGGGUCCUUCUUUAAGACCAUCUAGCUCGUAUAAGAUACCAUCGACGGGUAAGUAGCUGAUGUAAUGAUACACAUCAUCAUCUUCCUCUUCCCUUUUCUUCCUCCUAGCAGAUAACUCAUCCUCUUCCGUGGUGGUGGAAGAUGAGUCAGGCCUAGCAAAGGUGUUGUGAGCUGCACGUAUCGCCUCGUUGUUGCUGAUGGCUAAGCCUUUGAGCUCAGGUGGAAAGUCUUUGGCGAAUUCUUUAAGUUCUGUUAGUUCAGAACCAAUCUCGAUACCAGAAGAGUUCAUGAGGACAGACAGUAAGGCUUGUGUAGCACAAGCAUUGUUGAUUAUCUGCAAGAAAACACACAUACUGUUAAAAACCGUCCCCAUGAGUCAGAAAUCUAAAUGUGGGGGACAGUGAGUGGGACCUGGCUGGCGAAGAAGAAGUUUGGGUUUGGUUCAGUGAUGACAACACGAGACUCACUUUCCUCAGGACGCCACUUGUAGAGCAAUACUAAUCCGUAUACAGGUCUAAACAAAGAAGAACACAAGAGUAAUGACUAUGUUUUUGUUGGAAACAAGAAGAAACAAAAGAGCGUGUAUAAUAAUAAUACUAGUGAACUAACCUUAUUUCAUCAAGAGAAGUAAUGUCCAAUGAAUACAGUUCUUCAACCUGCACACCUUUCACUUGCAUUUGUUGUAUAAUCUCCGUGAAAACACCUAAACAUUAUGAACAACAAUAAACAAUAUAGCAAAGCUUGUGUCUUUUACACAGACAGACACUAUCGACUUUAGUAUAUGACCAAUCAUUUGAGAUGAACAAUAAGGAGCUAUUAGACAAUAAACCCCAAAUUUGAGAAGAAGAUACCAGGAUCGGAUUCUACAGGGAGCCAAGACAUGAUUUCACGAUGACGACUCGCCGCGCGCACAGGAGAAAUGAAGAUAAGGAUUGAGAAAUUGGAGAUUAGGAUUUGCCUAACGGGAUUCGCUAAUCUCCUUCGAAUUCAUCGUCUUCUCUAGACAGCUUGUUGAGUCAAUCAAGAGUCUCUCUCUACCACUGGUGUGGUCUCGACUUUUUUUUUUUUUUUUUUUUUUUUUUUAACAACUGUGUGUGUGUGUGGUCUCUCGACUGUCCUCGUCUUCUCGCAUAUAAACUGAGUCCAAUUGAACCGAAGAAUUAGAUUGAAAUAAACCGGUAUUGAUUGUGUUAUAUAUUAAAAAAUAAGGAUCAAACCGAAUCAAUCACAUUUUUAAUUUUAUUAAAAUAGCCGAACAAAACCGAUAGCUGACCGGAGAAGAGAGAAAAACUAGAUCUACUUUGGGACCGGCGUACGGCCGGCGCGUGAACGCAUGUGCCGUCGCCGGAGCCCUUUCUCUUUCGCCGAAGUUGUUCCUCUUAUCCCCUUUUUCGCCAUCCUGUCAACGACCGCUUUGUUCGAGCUUUGGUACCGCAACCAUCCCUAACGGUGGCUUGGCUCUUGGAGUAAUGACGCGCUCGAUUGGAGGUCCACGGUGGAGAGGGAGCGCCUUGCAUGCUCAGUUGUGGUGUUUUUCCGGGAGAUGGAAGCUAAUCUAGCUCUGUCGUCGUCGGUUUUAUGCGGGAGGUGGAGGCUUACUCAGAUCCACUGUCGCCGUCUUUAGCUUCCGGGAAGGGGAGUCUCCUUCAGUUCCGCCUUCGCCGGCUUUUAGUUACGAAGAGUGGAGGCUUGCAAAGCUCCGCGUUGCCGCUUAGAAACCUGGUGUCCUUUGGGUUAAGGUUACUAGUUCGAUUUGUGUCAAGUUCGGUGAGGUUGCCGUUAAGGUGGGUGUUUGGGUCACUGCGGAUGAGAUAUCGUUAGACGAUGAAGCUCUCCGGCGAUGGUGACGACUUUCAAGGGAAGAAAAGCAGUGGUUCUCGGUUCGCUUGUCUAGGUUUGAAGUGAUUCAAAGUCGGUGGAGAUCUCGGUGAUCGAUUGAACUCGCCGGCGUGAAAACAAUGUGGUGAAGAACGGUUAUGGGUUCGUUGGAGGCUUGUCAGUUAAUGAGCUCCGACGAACGAGGAUUUCGAUGGUGUUGUUCUGGCGGCGUAGAGGCGGUUACAAUGCGUGACGCGUUAAUGGAGCAGAUCUCUCCACGUGUCGAGCCAGCCUCCUCGACACGCUAUCCGACUGGGUCGUGCGGCUUCUGAGUUUGGGCCGAGGGCCCGUUUAGUUUUUUCAUUUAGCCCGUAAUCUUUUGGGCUUGUAGCCGUCUUUUGCUGUAAUCGGGCUUCGGCUGUUUGCUGGGCCUGACCCAUUUAUCUAAUUUAAAAAAACUUUGACGAGUUUCAACCUCUUUGGUCUUGUGAAUUUGUACAGUAGUUGGUUGUGUUCUUAACCACUAUGAAAGAAAACAUUAGCUGUCCAGUAAUCAACUUUAGUUUAAUUUUGAAACCGUGUUUCCGCCUUGAUUAAGCAAAACAAACCCUUUCGCAACUGAAACAAUCAUACAACAACCACAUCUCUUGCGUGGUUAUAACGAUUAAAGAAUCAGUCACAUCUCUUGCUUUACGCGUUUACGUUUCACGCCUAUCCAGAAAAAUAUACACCAAACGUAAAAAAAACAAACACAACACGAAACAAUCAAGAUCUCAAUUAAACUGUAUUCACACCACCAUAUCACAGAGUUACACAAUUAUAGAAGCAGAUUCAAUAUUGCAUCAAGUUAUAAACCAAACCAAAGUCAGCUUUCCUUGGCCUGAUUAAACCGAGCAACGAGGCUCUCCACAGGCACUUUAACGGCAUCCUUCCGCAUACCAACAUCCGAACAGAGACGUAUAGCAUUACUAGCCCAAGGACUCACCAUACGCGCCACGCACGCAGCUGCACUCACCGAAUUAGCCUGACCGCUUCUCCCAAGCACAUAGCUUCUCCCAACCACCAAACCCGUCUUACAAUACAUCGCGAAAUCCUCACAAUUAUUCUCGAACACAUGAUACUCACCAAACCCAUUUCUCAACAAAAGAAACUCCGCGCGAGAGAUCACUUCCUCCGAAGGAUCCGAAGCCGCCGUCGUGCAGGUACCUCCUCUUAGCUUGGACAUGAACAGAGCCGGAGAGACGCUGUACUCGAAGCGAAGGAGGUCUCUUCCGGCGAGAAAGCAAUCGAGACAAGAAGAGAUAACUCCAUGCGUGUUGGAAUGCUUUCCUCCACAGUUAGGACAAGGGUUGUCUCCUCCGUGAUUGGUAAUAGAGCUGACAAUGAGCUUGUCUAGAAAAGUUCCCGUUCCGAUUUCAAGACCGCCUCCACGUGUGAAAUGAAUGACCUUUCCGUCUCCUAUGUAGAUUCCUGUGAGAUUGCAAAUAUAAAGUUCGGAUCUUUGAUAAACCCAGAAGAGAGAUGGAGAGAUAGAGAAGAGGAGGAGAUGGGUUACCGUGAUGGGAAUAGAUAUAAGCGUUACGCCAUGAGUAGAUGUGAUCUCCUGGUUUCAGAUCGUCUUUAGAGAUCUUGUUGGAGAAUAAUCCUAUCUUCUCUAGAAGAAUGGAUUCCAUCUCUGGCUGGAUCAAUGUGGGUUCUCUAGAGAACUUUUUUCUAAGAUUGUUGGUUUUAAUAACCAAACCAUUAAAGUCAACUGGCUUUGUAUUGGCUUAGCUGCAUAACCCAAAGUCAACGAAUUAACGUAUCCCCGAAGAACUUUUAAAAACAUAUAAAUUUAUAUUUAAUAAAUUAACAUAAAUUUUAAUUUAGGCUAGUGUAAAAUAUAACAUAGUUCGAUUAAAUAAUAAAAUAAUAAAUUUUUGAAAAAAUUAGAAAAAUAUAUUGGAGUUGUUCACUAAAUUGCAAAUUAAUAAUCUCUCCGUUUCGUAAUACUUGAUGUUUUGUAUUAGUGCACAAAGAUUAAGAAAAUUAACUUUUUGUAAAAAAAAAUAUUUUAAAAAAUAUAAUUUUAAAAUCAAUGAACCAAUUACUAAAAAAACUUUAAAAUCUAAUUGGUUGAACAAUUUUCAAUAAAGUUAAAUUAAUCUUAAAAUUUCAAAACUUCAUGUAAAUUAUUACAAAAUAAUUUUUUUAAAACAUCAUCUAUAUUGAAACGGAGGGAGUAAUUGAUAUAUACAAAAUUUGUAUAAAGUUAUAUAAACAUAAUUUUUCUUUUAGAAUGAUCUAUAAGAAAAUUUAAAUAUUAUUUUAUCGAAUUACAUUUAAAAGUGCAUUAACUUUCUUCAGAAAAUGCAUCCAAAAAUGAAUUACAUCUAGGUGACUUAUUGAUAACUCAGAAAAAGCCUUUGUUUAUAUUCAGCUACAUAUACACACAAGGUGUUGAAGAAGAUAAAGAGACAAAAGCAUGUUGCACUCUCGUCUGAUUGAAAUGGGUUAUGAUCAGAAAACCUUCUUGUGUGGAGAGCUUUGUUUGGUUAUUGUCUUAUUGAUGAUGACUAGUACUGUAACACUAAAUUCCAAAUCAACCAACGGAGCCACACUAACGGUAGGUAAGUGAUCAAACACCAUUCAUCUUCCACUUCUGUGUGUUGUUUUUUGGUUUUUCAAGUUUUUUCAUUUAAUGACAUGUCAUUCUCAUAUGACUCUAAACAACUGAUGUGUCAAGUGCUGGAGAGAACCUUGCUGUAUUAUUGUGUUGAUUCCACCUCCGAAUUGUGUAGAAGGCAUUCGAGUGAUGGGCCAAAUCAUUGGGCCUAAACAAAAUUACUAAAAUAUAUAUAAUCUUCGUCCGUCUCUCUGUUAGACCAAAAUCGCUUAUAGGAGAGAGGGUAGAAGAGACGAGAAAGAUAAAUGAGGCCGAUGCAACUGGAUAUGUUGGCGGAGAUGGAUGAUGCAGGUUCUUCGAUGGCCAUGGACGUAGAUGACAUCGAAGCCAUGGAGAUGCUCAGCGAAGGAGGACUUAUCUCUGAGAACAAGCUCGCCGACGCCGAUUUCUUCAACAAGUUCGACGACGAUUUCGACGACUCCGAUAUCAACUGAUCUUCUUUAGCUCUCUAUUGUUUCAGAUUUCCCCUUUGUUUGGUUGAGUUUUUUUAUGUAAUUUCUGGAAGAAUCUAUAUUCCCCCGUUGAUUAGGGAUUCUGUGUUUGCGAAUCGAAGUUCCUAUCUGAACAUUAAGUAUGAUCUCUACAUGUCUUGUGGGUUUUGCUUACUAUCCUCUUGGAACAGAUUUAACAUUUGGGUACCUUAAUUGUUUUGCCUUUGUUUCUUUCUGGAGUUGGAAUCUGUUUUUGUUUUCUUGCUAAUUUAGCUUCAACCUAAUCUCUUAAGGUGUUUCUCGUUGUAUCUGAGAUGUGCAUAGACAUAAACUUCGUUUAUUAGACACAGAAGAGAUGUUAGAAGCGCCGCGAGACCAAGAAAUGAUUCUUUCCUCUUGUGUGAGGUUUUUCACUUUACUCUCUUUCCGGUUCACUACAAACCACGACUCUUGCCUCUUGGUUUGCAUUUGAUUUUUUCGGUUUUUGGUUUUAAAAGGUUUAAUUCGGGUAGAGAACAUCCAGUUCAGUUUUGUUUGGUUUGGUUAAGUGUUGGAAAGGUUGAUCUACCUUUUUGAGUUUAGUGAUUAGAUACAACUAAAAUUUUCUAUAUUGUUUCGUACUGAUUAGAUAAUGAUUAUUGAGCAUAAACAAACUUGAUAUUUAAAAGAGAUUAAUAUCCAAUAUUUAAAACAGAGAGAUUAAUAUCCAAGUUCUAAAGUUGUGGAAUAUAAAAUAUAUAUAUAUAUAUCCAACUCAUUAAUAUGAAUACCCACAUUCCAUUUCAUCCCCAAAAAUAUGAAUACCAACGAGCUCCACAAAGUGUGAAAUAGCACGCCUUCCCAGUGGAAUAUUGAGAAAACCACAUUGCCUCCACAGCAGCACGCUAUACUGAAGUUGAACGUAGUGGAUUUCACGCUUAGUCCCUCUGCCAGUAAGAGCUUCACAUGGUUAGAAGACCAAGUAGAGUUAACUUCCUCCAAAGUUGGACAGUGAAAUCCAUGUUACAAUAAAGCAUAAGCUCAGUGGACCAAGAAAAAAAAAACAAUUGAACAAGCCAAACAUGAAAGGAAGGAAAAAAGAACUAAUCGUAGACUGCCCUGGAUGUACAAACAAAUAAGGAUAGGAGGGAAGUCCUAUAGCAAGAGGAGAAUGUAUCAGUUGAUCCAAAAGUGCCUCUUCAAAAUGGACAUGAGAUGAAUAUUCAGUAGGAACACUCAUAUGAACAAGCAUCUCUGUCACAGCAAACAGAGGUGGAUCCUGUAAAAAAAAUAUAAGAACAUUCCUAUCACACCAGAUAGAAGUGGAUCCUAUUAAAAAUAUAUAAGAACAUAAACACAAUGAAUAAAAUCGGUAAGUUACCGGAGCAGAACUUUGAACAGUCCAUCUUGCAAGGCAUCUGCUACCAUUUCAAGCAAAGGUAUAGCUCAAGAAUCCAUAAAAAUACCUGUGACAUUGACUUUCGUGCAGAGAGUGCUAAAACUGAAUGAGUAACCAACAGCGGUAAAUAGGAGCUCAAUUCUGCAGUGAAAGAAAAACAUGGAAUGAAGGAAAAACAACUAACCGUAGACUGUUCUUCUGGUUAUUCAUACAAAGAAGGAUACGAGGGAAGUCAUAUAGCAAUAGGAGAGUGAAUCAAAUGAUCCAUAAGUGUCUCUUCGAAUUGGGCAUGAGAUGAGUAUUCACUGGGAUAAUUGAUAUGCACAAUCACUGCACAUGAUUCUGUCACGGCAAUGUCUUGGCUAUUACAAUACUCAUCUCUUGCCAAAUUUGAACAAUCACUAGGAAGAGGCGAAAACUUACUUUUCUCUAAAACGGCUAACAUGUAUAAAAUGAAUCAAUAUUGUAUGAAUUGAUACAUGUUCCAGUAUUAUAAUAUUUUAUGUAUAUGUUUUCACGUGAAUAAGAUGAAAAUCAUGGUAUUAUGUAUUACAUGAAAGUGUAUUAUGACCCACUGUUAAAUGAUCACAAUAUUAUUAGAUGUGGUUUCCUUUUUGGUACUUAUGAUGUUGUGCAGAAAAUAUUAAGCGAAAAUUAUGGUGGGUUUAAUGUAUUGAUUUAACCGUAAAAACAAAAAAAUUGAAUGACCAAUUUCAACGAUAUACUUAUGAUGUUGUGCAGAAAAUAUUAAGCGAAAAUUAUGGUGGGUUUAAUGUAUUGAUUUAACCGUAAAAACAAAAAAAUUGAAUGACCAAUUUCGACGAUUAUAAAUAUAUCAUCAUACAACAAAAAAAAAUACUACAUAUUAUUUGUUUUUUAGAUGAUGCAUUCCAUGAUUUCAAAACACUAUUUUGAUACUAAGUAUUAAAAUAUAAAGUUUUGAAAAAAUUGGUUGGCCAACAUAAUUCUCCUUCCUCUUGUCUCUAGAUCUUCUUAUCGAAUCCAAAUAACUUUAACACUAGACCCUGAUCCGCGCGCCAGCGCUGGUAUGAAUUUUCAGUUUUUAAUUAUUUAUUUUAUUAAAUAAUGUAUUUGUAAUAUUCGUUCAUAUUAUAUUCAUUAAGUAAAUAUUUUAUUUUUGCAUCUUAAACUAUCUAUUUUUUUACGAAUGUGUGAUAUCAUAUAAAAAAAUAUAAAAAAAUGAGUAUAUAGAGUUAAUUAGAUAAUUGUAAAAACAGAAAUAUUUCUUUCGUGUGCGAUAUCAUAUAAAUAAUGAUCCGUCCAGUUAACAAAAAUCAUGAUUUUUUUAUGUGUAAUUUUUUUUAUUUUGACAAUUUCUUUAAAACUAUAUUAAAUUUUACAUAUUUUAAUUAGAAUAUUUUUAAUAUCUUUACCUUUUUAUUUGAAAUGCAACUCAAUAUUUUUUAAAAAAUUAUAACAAAAUAUUUAAAAAAUAUUUUUAGAAUUUGUUUGAAAAAUAUGAAAAUUACAUUUUAAAUUAAAAUCAUCCUAAACUAUGAUAAGUUUUGAUGUAAACGAAAACUCAAAUUAUGUCAAAAAUAAUUAUAUUCAAUGAUAAUAACAAUUUAAAUUAAUUAUUUUUAAAAAAUACAUUUACAUUGCCUGAACCUACUAGUCAUCAUGGCUUACAGUUCCAACUCUUAUGGUCUUGUGAAUUGAACAGUUGGCGUGGUGUUCUUGGCCACUAUAAUAAACUUUAAUUAGUCAUCACGGCUUACAGUUCCAACUCUUAUGGUCUUGCGAAUUGAACAGUUUAACCAACCAGUAAUCAACUUAAAUUUAAUUUAGAAACCGUGUUCUUCUUGAUUACGCAAAAAUAAGACAAUCUCAAGCGUGGUUAUAACGAGUAAAGAAUCAACCACAUCUCUUUCUUUACGCGUUUACUUUUUUACACAACACAAACAAUGAAGAUCUCAAUUAAACUGUAUUCACACAUCAUUAUCAACCACAUCUCUUUCUUUACGCGUUUACGUUUUUACACAACACAAACAAUGAAGACCUCAAUUAAACUGUAUUCACACAUCAUACAAUAGAGUUACACAAUUCAAAGAAUUUAGAAGCAGAUUCAAUCUGGCAUUAACCAACAAUCAAAUACACACAUUGCACACAAUCAGAACCAAACCAAACUCAGCUCUCCUUUGCCAAUGUAUCAGCCUGAUUAAACCGAGCAACGAGGCUCUCCACAGGCACUUUAACAGCAUCACUCCUCAUACCAACAUCCGAACACAGACGUAUAGCAUUACUAGCCCAAGGACUAACCAUACGCGCAACACACGCAGCCGCACUCACCGAGUUAGCCUGGCCGCUUCUCCCAAGCACAUAGCUUCUCCCCACCACCAAACCCGUCUUACAGUACAUCGCAAAAUCCUCACAGUUAUUCUCGAACACAUGGUACUCACCAAACCCAUUUCUCAGCAAAAGAAACUCCGCACGAGAGAUCACUUCCUCCGAAGGAUCCGAAGCCGCCGUCGUGCAGGUACCGCCUCGGAGCUUGGACAUGAACAGAGCCGGAGAGACACUGUACUCGAAGCGAAGGAGAUCUCCUCCGGAGAGAAAGCAAUCGAGACAAGAAGAGAUAACUCCAUGCGUGUUGGAUUGCUUUCCUCCACAGUUAGGACAAGGGUUGUCUCCUCCGUGAUUGGUAAUAGAGCUGACGAUGAGCUUGUCCAAAAAAGUUCCCGUUCCGAUUUCAAGACCGCCUCCACGUGUGAAAUGAAUGACCUUUCCGUCUCCUAUGUAGAUUCCUGUGAGAUUGCAAACAUAAAGUUUGGAUCUUUGAUAAACCCAGAAGAGAGAGAAGGAGAUGGGUUACCGUGAUGAGAAUAGAUAUAAGCGUUACGCCAUGAAUAGAUGUGGUCUCCUGGUUUCAGAUCGUCUUUAGAGAUCUUGUUGGAGAAUAAUCCUAUCUUCUCUAGAAGAAUGGAUUCCAUCUCUGGCUAGAUCAAUGGGGGUUCUCUAGAGUUUUUUCCAAGAUUGUUGGUUUAAAAAAACCAAACCUUUAAAGUCAACUGGUUUUGUAUUGGCUUAGCUGGAUAAGGAAAAAGUCAAAAGGUCAAAUUGAAUUUAAGAAUCAAUUUAUCCCCGGUAAAGGUGAUUUGCAUAAAUAUUUAGGAGAAACUCUAGAAAUUAAUAAACAUUUAUGAUUUUGAGUUAGAUAAAUUAUAAAUUAAUAAUGCUAUAUAAUUUUUUUAUAAAGUUACAUGAAUAUAAAUUUAUCUAUAAUUUCUCUUUGCAAUUUAGUAUUUUAAUAUUAUUUUUACAUCUAAAAUACAUUAAUAUUCUAGGAUAUAUAAUUUCAAUACGUAAAAUUUAUCAAAUAAUCUAAUUAAAAAAAAGAUUUCAAAUCUAAAAAGUUUGAUUACUCUAUAACAUCUUGAAAUUAAAAUUUCUUUUUUUAAAUAAAAACUGAAAAUAAAAUGUUUUACAAAUAUAAUCUAAAAUAAGUUUAAAAAAAAUAAUAAUUAUUUAUAGUGUUUUUAUUGUAUAAUAACAAAGAGAGAGUUCCACGAUUCAGCAAAAGUAGAAGUAGCCGAUUCUAUGAUCCACAAUAACAACUUGGUGAGUUAUUAGUUAUUGAUAACUCAGAAAAAGACACCAGUGCGUGUAUAUUCAGCCAGAUAAACAAGGUGGUGAAGAAGAUAUAGAGACAAAAGCAUGUUGUAUUCUUGUGUGAUUGUAAUGGGUUAUGAUCAGAAAACCUUCUCGUGUGGACAGCUUUGUUUAGUUAUUGUUUUACUGAUGAUGACUAGUGUAACACUAACACUAAAUUCCAAAUCAACCAAGGAGCCAAACUAAUGGUAGGUAGGUGAUCAAACACUAUUCGUCAUCCACUUGUGUUUGUUUAUUGUUUUUUUUGUUCAAACCAACUUUCAUUAAUAAAACUUAGACUCCAUCAAUGGAGGAAUUGUUCAACAGAAACAAUAACACAGCCACAUUAGCUAAAUAAACCGCUGCAAAAGCAAAACGGAUAACACAAACAUAGAUAAAAGCAAACAUAACACACAAGCAACUUAAAAGUGAAACACCAUGAAUGCUACUGAGUGAGAUGAAGCCACGGGAAUUGGAGAACACGUUCAGUGAACUGUUACCCGAACAUGCUGCAGCAACAAAUGCAUAGAACUAGCUAGACUUCUUGUCGUCUCUUCUUUCGAUAAUCGCUAUAAGCGUAACAAGGUCUUCCACAGGAACUUUGCUAGCAUCACUUCUCACACCAAUAUCAGCACAUAAACGACCAUAGCAGUAGUUACCAUACCCCGCCGCCAAAGUCACAACACCAACACCAGCAACCCCAGAAACAACCAACCUCGCAGCAGAGCCCACAGAAACACUCUUCACCGUCCCCCAAAGCGACAAAACACCACGCACCGCAGACCACGAGUUAGCCUGUCCACUACUCCCCAGCUUAGACAAAACAAUCAAACCAGUUUUGCAAUAGAUCGCAAAGUCUUCACAGUUGUUCCUCAACAGAUCAUACGCACCAAACCCAUUUUUAUUAGACAAGAGGUGUCUCGCACGGUUAACGGUUUCAUCAGAGGAGUCUGAAACCGCUGUUGUGCAGAUACCGCCUCGCGGUUUAGCCAUAAAGAUGGGUCCAGAGACACCGUACUCGAAGAGAUAGAGGUUUCCUCCGGCGAGGAAACAGUCGAGGCAAGAACAGAUCACACCGUCGAGAUUCGAUUGGUCUCCGCAGUUAGGACAAGGGUUGUCACCUCCAUGGUUUGGAACCGAACUAACGAUGAUGUUGUCUACGAAAGUCCCUGUCCUUGUCUCAAGACCACCUCCGCAAGUGAAAUGUAUGACGUCACCAUUGCCUACAUAGAUUCCUACAAGUUGCAAACAUAGAAAGGAUCGUCAUUUAUUCUAAGACAGGAACAUAAAAAGCUAAGAUCCAGCGAGAAUUGUCUGAACAGAAACUGAAGGAGUGUUAAAUGCAAUGUAGCUACAUAGAGAUAGAUGGAAGGGAAAGANNNNNNNNNNNNNNNNNNNNNNNNNNNNNNNNNNNNNNNNNNNNNNNNNNNNNNNNNNNNNNNNNNNNNNNNNNNNNNNNNNNNNNNNNNNNNNNNNNNNNNNNNNNNNNNNNNNNNNNNNNNNNNNNNNNNNNNNNNNNNNNNNNNNNNNNNNNNNNNNNNNNNNNNNNNNNNNNNNNNNNNNNNNNNNNNNNNNNNNNNNNNNNNNNNNNNNNNNNNNNNNNNNNNNNNNNNNNNNNNNNNNNNNNNNNNNNNNNNNNNNNNNNNNNNNNNNNNNNNNNNNNNNNNNNNNNNNNNNNNNNNNNNNNNNNNNGAAGAAGAAGUGAAAGACGAUAACGAGCUUGGUGAAACAGCAUGUGAGUUAGAAGUUCCAAAAGAAGGCGAUGGAGCUGCUGCUGAUGAAGUAAGUCUUGUAGUGAAUGACGAGAUCGGUCAAAUGCCAGCCGAGGACAAAGUCGAUCAUGUAGAGGGAAUAGAGGAUUUACAGGUGGAAGGAUACCAUGAUGGAGGUGUAGGCGGUGAAGAUGUUUGUGUUAUCGAAAUUACUGAAGGUGAUGUUGAUCACAACGCCAUUCUCAAUGAGACAGACUUGAAGGUUGAAGAUGAGCUUCCACAUGAUAAGAAGACGGAUGCAUCAGCUGAAGUCUGCGAGAUUGGUGUAGACAACCAGACUCAAUGUGAUAUCACAAUUGGCUAUAUUGAAAAUGGACACGUAGAAGCUGGUGAUUUGGCUUUGGAAAGUCUCAACGAACCAAUUGUGGAAGCAAAAUAUGAUGGGGUGAAUCCAGAGACAGAGCCUGAUAACAACUACGAACCGCAUAAUGAUGUGUUUAAUGAGGAGGCUACUAAUAUGCAAAGUGCACCAGAUGAAGAUCCUACUUCUCGCGAUGGUUUUAUGAGAGAUAACGACGUAAGUUUUGUUUCAUUGUGGUUUCAUAUCCUUAUUCAAGUAAAGACAUGCCUCUUAAGUUCUUCUUGUGUUAUUCUCUUAUGCUUUAGGAAAUGGAUACAAUGGAAGUGGCACAUGACACAGGUUCUAAACCUUUUACGAAUUUUAAUUGUACAAAUUAUCUGUACGUUCUCAGUUUAAGCAAUGGGACUAAUACUUGGUCAUCAUAGCAUGAUUUAGAUUUGUGAGAUGCUGUUAUAUCCAUGAUGUCUCAGUGGUUCUACUUAUAAUUGAUUUCACUCUGUGUUUUCAGGAUUUUUGAAUGUGGAUGAUGAUGAAGAUCAUGAAGAAGACGAUGGUAUGCAAGAAGGUGAUGAAACUCGUCUUCUAGAGAACAGUGGUUGGUCUUCUCGUACCAGGUCCGUACAGAAUCAUUUUUUUGCACAGACUAUCAUGUAAGAAACAUGAUGAGCCUGAAACACUGAAGACUAUUAUUCUCUUUUAUUAUAGGGCUGUGGCGAAGUAUCUCCAGACAAUAUUUGAUAAAGAAGCUGAGAAUGGGAAGAGUGUUGUUGUAGCGGACAAACUUUUAGCUGGGAAAACCCGUAAAGAAGCAUCGAGAAUGUUUUUUGAAACCCUGGUAUGUUCAUAAUACGACCCUAAACAAAAAAAAAAAAAGCUCUGAUCUUUCUCUCGAGAAAACAAACUUGACCAGUAAUUGAUAAAUACACAUAGAAUCUUACAUGUUUUGGUUUUAUGCUGCAACUCCAGAUUAAUUUGUCUGUUUUCCUACUGGAUUGUUAGGAUGUUUAGGUGUAAGCAUGUCUAAGUUAGGUGUGUACUCUCGGCUUUAGUGCAUCAAUCACAACUUGUCUUUUUAAGACGGAAGAACAAGUUUGGUCUUCAUAAACUUGAUCAUCUUGUUGAAUCUGUCUUUUAUUAUUUGCCAAUGUUGCAGGUUUUGAAAACAAGAGAUUAUAUCCAAGUUGAACAAGCUAAGCCAUAUGAAAGCAUCACCAUAAAACCGCGACCAAGACUCACCAAAUCCAUCUUCUAGACGGAGAGGAGUCUUAUAGUUGCAGAUAGGUAGAGUUUGGUCCAGCCAGAAAAUAUCAUCCUAAAUGAUUUUCAUUCUCUGAAGUUAUAUACAUUUUCCCUUUUACAAGGCAAUGUAGUAGCGAUAAUAGUGUCAGUGGUGUUGUAGCUAACCAUCCAAGUAGCUGGAGGUCAUUUAUUUUACCCUUAUAUAUAUAACUUGUAUGUAUGUAUAUAUUGGUGCCACCAUGAUCAUCACCAGUUUAUAUUUGAGAGAUGCUAAUUUUAUUUUCUCCCGUCUGUCAUAUUGAACUUGAGAAUGUCGAGGAACCCAUUUUUUUACUGAAUAUUAAUAAUUUCAUAUUAAUAUUAUUGGAAUCAAACAGAAGGUAUAAAUGAUUGGAAGUAAAUAAAAUGAUAAUAUCUAUAAUCCUUUUAUUCCACAAACAAAAGUAAAGCUGAGAUCCACCUUUUUCAAAUUUUGGUGUAAUGUAAAAUUAAUCUUUCUCCUACCGAAAAAACAUUUCUUGACAACAAUUUGCUACAAUCAAAAUUGAAAACUCAGACGUAAACCAUCAAAAUGGAUACACAGAAUACAGAGAGAGAGAGCUAUGAAAGUUCACUGAGACUGAAGAACAGUAAGGUAAUAAGGAUAGCCUUGGCAUGUCCCUGAUGAUGCAUCUUCACGCCCGGAAAGCUCCCAGGUAAGUUUAUACGAAGAGAGAUUGUAGAUACCUGGAGCGAAAACCGAUAUCUGCAGCGGGAUCUCCGUUGUUGACAAUGGCUGGAUUUCGACCUUUGUGGAACUUAAACCUGACCAUAUGAAAGGAGGUGAGCUUUCCAUGGACGAUGGAGGUUUCCCUGAACGGCUCCCCAUGACAUCUGAAGUCAGUUUCAUUUCCUCUGUUAUAUCUGGCACGUAGCGCCACCCGGAUUGGUUUCCAGCGGAAGGAGUUGGUGUUGCUACGUCUUGUACGGAAUCAAUGGUGUUGAAGCUCACAGAUGAUAUUCCAUCAGAUGUGUUUCUGAUUACUAAUUUUAGUUGAAUUUCACACAAGGAGGUCGAGAAGUCGUGGUAUAUGGCUUGGGGACCGUCUAGGGACCACGAUAGCGGGUUUGAGCUCCUGAUUCUGUAAUCGAAUGAUUACACGUUAGUUAAAAAUAGGUUUCAAAGCUGAAGAAAAUAUACUGUUACGUGAAUACUCUUUACCUAUUGUGACAUGAAUGGUGAGACAGAAUCUUUGGUAUAUCUGCCACUCCUGAUGAAUUGCUGGAUUUUGCUGGGUGAGAGAUUAGAAUGAAGUCAACGGUAUUGGUACUUAACUGUUUCAAUCAUACAAACACGAGUUCAUUAUGGUUUCUGAUGAUAGAAAGUUACCAGUGAUGAUGCUAUGUUUAAGAGAAAAUGAAUGUUCCCUUGAAAAAACAUCUCUACCGCAUAAGAUAUAUAUAUGUCCCUGAAAGAGGAUUUCGCUUACCUGAUCUGAGGUUUCUUGACAUGACCUUUCACUUUCAUGGAAGCUUGCUAAAGGUGAGUUAACGAUAUCAAAAAGUUUUUCGUCGUCAUCCUGAGCAAACAGUUUUACGUCGGUUUGGCUGGGAGGAAUGGACAUGGUUUUCUCUUCUUCAGUCGCUGAUCUUCUGUUAUCCUGAAAUUUAAACAAUAUUCUAAUUUCAGACAUGGAAAAGAGAAAGACCAACUAGCUACUAAAUGAACAUUUUAAGCUAAUAGCGACCUUAAUCAUGAAGUGACAUGAUAAAGCUUGCCCGGGAAGCAGAGACUUGGAAGGUAAGAUUGUAUCAACACGCUCAAGUAAGGAGAUACCCCACCGACACCCAACUGUUGACAACUGAUGAAUUUGGAAAGAAUCUGAAUUCGCACGGUUCAGUAUAUCCAUACGCACAAGACAUUCUUGCAACUUUGAUGGAGAGGGAGUGAUUUCGAACGAGGUCUCUAGAGAUGGCAAAACCUAUAUAAAAAUGUACGGUAUAGAAAUGGUUCAGAUUGGUUGGUCAAUGCAAAUAUUGCCUAUAACAUAAUGAAGGUAGAAACAACCAGCCUAGAGAUUCAUCACCUUUAAAUUAUAAUGCAUCCUUAGGGUGCGAUACUUCAUGAUGCUUGAUACAUUUUCCAUCUCAUAGUAUAUUGUGAAAUACAAAGAUAUCGUUCCUGGGAUGGCAGCUCGAAGCCAGAGAGGCCACCUCAAAGAUUUAUCUCCUUGCAGUGACACAUCCUGAAAAAGAGCAACAUUCAGAACCAUGUUAGAAUAACCUGACAUGCACAUUUACCUGGAGGCUUGAAUAAAAAGGUUAGCCACGGACCUUUGGAAAUGAAAAUACACUACUUGUUUCACUCUGCACAAAAUUUUGUUCAUGGCCCUUCUUUAAGCAAUCUGGAAACUCCGUUGUUACCUCUUCUUCAUGAUUUCCAGGAUUUACAAAUCUUGGAUGGCUAAUCUUCAUUUUAAGAUUCUACAAGGACAGACAGACUUUUAAAGCUCAAAAAUAAUCCAGAGAAUAGCUUAGUGCAUCACAAUAUUCGGUAAUCAAGCAAGAAUAAAUAGAUAAGCCAGACAAUGACAAACUAAAUUAAUACACAAUAACAGAACAAAAAUAAAUUUUACUGGCUAAACGGUAGAGAAUAUGAAUGAUAAGGGUUGAUCAUAAACGAAAACUACCUUUAUCGGGAAUUCCGACUUGUUUUUUAACUCUAAAACAAGAUAACGUAGAUCUCCAGCAUACAAUUUCUCAGGCAGAUGAUCAAUUGAACCCAAAAGCCUGGGUAGACUCUGCACAGUCAAAAUUUCAUUAUGUUAGACGUCGUAGCAAAUCUUACAAAAUUAAACCGUAGAGGAAAAGUUUGCACCUUGAUGACCAAAAAUUUCAAGGCAUCAGUGGGAGUAAGUUUGUUUUUCCGUCUUCCCUUGUUAGUUUUUGCCUUUCCAGGGGCAGAUUGGAAGUAAUGCACACCUACAACAGAACCAGACAACCUCCACCUUACACCGACAAUUUUGAGGAUACCUUCUUCACUGGGGGUAACCGUGAGUCUCACCUAGAAGAAAAAAGUUAUGACAAUAAGUCAAACGUAAACAGCAGCUGAUAAAACCAUCAGAGAUUCACCAAAGGAUACAGUAAGCAAACGGAAGAUAUAAUAGUCAGAAGUUAAAAAGGACCAAGGCAAUUCAAAACUGUGACUACAAUCAAGGUUAGUAGCAAUGAGGUAAAGCCAGCAAUCACAAGUGAAACAUCAAAAAAAAUUAAACGUGUUUCUCUAUAUAUACACAAGAAGAUGAAUAAUGUCAGAUAUAGAAAGAGUAAAAAUAUUAAAAUGUGUCAAUCGAUCUAUGUUUUCAGUUUAGCAGACUCACCAGUUUUUUCUCGCCUCCGCCUAAUGUUAAGUCCACUUCAGACAAAGUGAAAGAAGAGAAACCAGAUGUUGUACCCCUGUAGUAUUGUUGGUAAAGACGUUGCAGCUUAAUCAUUCAAUUGUAGAUCAACAAAGUUAAAAGAAACCUGAUUGAAGAGAUUAGCUGCUUACUGAUUAUGUUCUGCGGAACUCUCGGUCCCCAAGCUUAUGCUACUUGGGUGUUUAUCAACUUUACAAAGUCCAAACGUUUGAAAUAAGUUUCACAUCUAUAAACCGAAGGACGUAGAACAAUUCCAAAGUGAACAUCAAUAUUAUAAACAGCUUACCUUUUAGGUCAUCAGAAUUUGAGGUAAGUUCACAGAUGAGAGAUACGCUUGUUAUAGAAGUAGAGAUUAGCAAGGGAUUCCUAAACUCCAGAUCCACUUUCACUGACUCUGAUAACAAAGAAGUACAAGUAAAAAUCCACAAUUACAAACAUUUUCAAACAUACUACAGCAGAAUAUCAUGUCCUCCUCAACAAUAUGGCCUGAAUUUAUUGACAAACUAAGAAAUCCCUCUUCCUUGGCAGAGGCACAACUGAUAACAUUUACAGAUGCUAUGAUAUGACUAAUGAGGAAAUCUUAUACUCCGUGCAGAAUUAUCACAGCUGGGCGUUCCAAAAAUAUACAUUUUUUCAACAUCAAAGCAUGUCUAGAUCAAAUUGAAAUGUCCUCCUGCUGGUACGAUAAGGUAGACCAGAUUUUGCGUAUUAGUGUGCAUAAGUUAAGUGCAGGAUAAUGAAGAAGCUCCAUGAUUCAGGUAAACAUCGAAUGCAGCUAACAACAUUAAUGAAAAAGAUGUAAAUUCACCUCCAGCCACACAAACAUUGGAUUCCUUGUAUUUCUUUGGUAGUAGCUUUGACUGUAAUUCCAGCCAGUUUGACUUGCCAGAAUUUAAUGAUGGAAUGAUAUCAUCCUCCAGUGACUGCCAGAUGCUCUCUUGUACAAGAACCUGACCAUGACACGUAAAUAAUAUUAGUAAACAACAGAUGCAAAUUCACCAAUAAUGAAAAAGAAAAAAAUCAGGGAUGCACAAAUAUUAUUUAUUUGCAAGUAUUAUUUGCAUUAAUCCAAAAAAAAUUAACCAGAAAUACUGAUAUCAGUUAUGCUGUUCAUAAUGAAGUAAAAAGGCAAAACAUCCGAGGAAGAUUAUGAUGGGUACCAAUAUGUACAUUCUUCCAAAGAGUGAGUAUGCAACUUACAGAAGCUUGAGAUGCAUAAGUGCGAUGGUCUUCAUAUAUAACUUGAAGAGACGACAUAUUAAUAAAUGGUAGUUGAAGUCCCACCACCUCGUGCUUCAUUCCAGUUUUCUUCAGAAUGACAAAAAGUAAGAAGUUAUUUUGUAUAGUCAAAGAACAAAGAGUAGAGACCAGGGGUAACUAUUGGAAGCACUCUAUUAUUCUCUGUGCAGCUUCAGUAAAGCGUAUAAAACAGCAGGUAUAAGCUAGGCACCUUAACAAUCUCGAAAAAGUCUCUGAGAAAAAUCUCUUGGGUUGCCUUGGAUUGGUUGCCACAGUCCAGUACUUUGAGCAUAUUUCUAACUGCAACAUCAUGCAUCCCAACAAGUGCGUACCACCUGAAAAGGUAAUUUCAUAGCAAGUCUUAGACCACAAUUUCCUAAACAUCACGCCUUAGACGUACAUUCACAACGUUUAAAACUUACCGUCCAAUAUGAAAAUGUACAUGGUCUUUGAUAUGGCUCCAUGUAGUUGAUUCAUAAACAGAGAUUGCACUUCUAUAUGUACGAAUUGCAUGGCUAACCUGAAAAAACGCAUAAAAACUGUAUUCUUUAGAUUGCAAAGCAUGUACGAAGCUUGAUCCCUUUCAACAAAAUUACAUGUACCUGAUCACAGUUUUUAUAGUGGUCUCCUGAGAGAACUAAGUGAAAUCCAUACUUGUUUAACAUCGCGGGCUUAGUUAACACGAAGCAGUAAGAAGCUUGCUCUAACAUGACUGCGGCGUGUAAUGGUUCCUGAAAAAAUAAUAAAGUUAGAAAUGGUAUAAAGUGCAUAUGUUCUGAGGCAUAAAAGAAGCACCUCUCCACAUAUGCGGAAGUAAGCAGAAGCAGCUUCUUUGUACUGGUCUCCAGCUUUUAGCAUCUCUGCCCACCAGAGCCCACAUCUCGUAGCAUUUUGAAAUCCAGACCUCCCAAGUUUCUGCAUGAGAUUACAAGGACAUGUUACAGCAUGUACUACCGCGUCACUUGCUCAAGUUAACCCAUUACUAUUUCAGUUUCAAGUUUUGCUUAUAAUAAACACUAAUUCAAGUAAGCGAGGGACAUUCACUGAAAGAACUGUUUUAGGUGGGUUAUAAAAACAUACCAGAUAAGUGCUGAAUGCAUUUUCCAUGCAGUACUCAGCUUCCUUUUUUGACUGGUCUGAGAUGAAAUAUGCAAGUCCCAUCAUUUCCUUCCCAAGCAUACAUGAGAAGAUGAGUUAUUGAAGCCACCACAAGUAACGAGCAAUGGAAAAUAAAGACCAAAACAAUCGGCCUGAUGGGCUAACCUAUACUAUAUGUUAGAUUAAAUUAUACAAAACGAGUAUUGAUUAAAAAUAAUGCCACCUGAAUACCUACAUAGAAACACAAUCAUAAAGCUGUGAAGCUACCUGAACACCAGCAUAGUGCUUCCAAGCUUUAUCGAGCUUGUAAUCGGUUGAUAUUAAGCGAUAGCUUGACAAUGCAAGUUCAUAAUCAUGCAACAUGAAGGCGUAGUCACCCAAAAUUCUAAUUUGAGAUUCAGUGGAGCUAAAUGUAUACCUUCAAAAAUGAAAAAAAAAAUAGUAAGAGCUUAUGAUGACGUCAAGGAAAACAUUAAAGGAGCAAAAAUUUCAAGAAAGCAUACAUAGAACCUUUGGUUGAAUCCGGAACAUCGUCUUUUCCUUUUCUCCACCAUAAGUUUUUUAUUUGGUUUCUAAGUCCUUUCCUUGUUGCAGAAAUCUAGUGACACAGUAAAAUGCAAACUAAAUGAUAUGGAAAGAGAAAAAAAAAGAACAAAGUAAAGCAUACAGAAAACGUAAAGCAUGUUCCCACGAUUAACUUUUUAGAAAAUCUAAAGCUAACCUGUUGAUUAAGAUCUCGAACUUUCUGUUCCAUGUAAGGAAUUAUAUGCCUCGAUGCAAACUCUUGCAUCAGAUCUUUGAUCUACCUCGAAUAUACGAGGAGAACUAAUAGUGUUGGUUAAAACAUUCCAAAAUAUUCGAAAGGCGUGAAUAUCAUCAGAAAGCGAAUGUUACCUCCACGAUAUCGUCGCCAGUGAGAGCACAUCCAAGUUUGUCGGCCGAAACACUUGAUUUCUUUCAGAAAGAAAAAAUAAUUAAAAUGUUGAACUUACAAAAACAUGGAUUGAUAUAUGAAUCAUGAGCAAUAUGUUGGAUAAAAUACUGAUGAGAGGCUUACAAAUGAAGCCCAUGGAUUAGCCUGAUGUUCCACGUUCCCCUCUUUAGAUGAAUUAGUGCAAAGUAAGUUGCACUCAUUGUUUCCAAAUGUACUUCUCAUCUCAGACAGAACUUUAGACGUUCUACAGAAGAAAUUACAUCCCGUCAACUAAAGCCUUACAUUUGACAGCCAUAUAGUUAUAAUGAGAAUCAUAUAAUAUACUAUGUAGUAAGGAACAGUUACCUCUCUGUUGUGGCAUCCUGAUUGUCAUGCACCAACAGGUAAUGCUUCAAAAUCUUUGGGUCCAUUACACCAUCAUUAAGCAAAGAAGGUAAUCUAUUGGUGUUGAAAAGAUCUACAAAUUUAUUUACAGGUUGUUCGUCUUUUGAUGAAACGACCAAGAGACCUGAAUAACACAUUUAGAAUUGUUCCGUACGCAACAGAAAAGUCUAUUAGCAAACCUAGUUUAAAGCAUGAAGCCAACAACAACAAUUUUGGAUUUUCUAUAAUGUCUUACAAGCCACAGGAUGAUCAAAAGCCUCAUGGUCUGAAAAGGACAGUGUACGGAUAAGUUCCUUAUUGUAAUACUGAAACCAUGUGGGUGCAAUUUCAGACUCUGGAUCUGCAGUAACGGAAAGACAUCAGCAUUAGAAAAGCAACCCGGUAUGAUAAGAAAAAAAUCUCUUAAAAGGCAUAAUAUUGAAUAGAGAUACUUACUAGAGAGUAUAUCAGUAAUUUGAGGAGGAUCAGAUUUCAAAUCGUCAAAAACCUUCUCCCCAGCUUCAGUGAUAACAUGUUCUAGCCGUUGCUUUGCAACCUAGCCAUUAAGUAAACAUAAUCAAUUUUGAAGCUCAACCAAAGAUGCAGAAUGGAGGAGCCUUCUAAUACAACCAUACACCUAACACAAAACAAUCCUCUUCCACGUUGCGUUCUAGGUAAGAAAGCAAGAAGCUUUACAUACCUCCACGUUUGGUUGUUUGAUAUCUGAGGCAUUAAACAAUCUGAGCGUAAACUUCUUCAGCCGAUAAAGCUGAUCGCCUGAGGUCCUAACAGGAACUGCACAAGAAAUCAAAACCUCGGUUUAAACGGUUGGUGAAGUAAACCUUUGAAAACGAAUAAAAGAAUCAAAGUCUAUCAUCACCAUCGAUAUUACUGAAGUUGCAGAAUGGCUUCAGCGUUUCCACAAAGGAUAGUCCAUUCUUGAGGAAAGUCUCUUCAACAAGAGGCGUGCAGAGUACCAUGACAACUGGACUGAUCUCUUCCAAGAGCAUUUUCCCAAGCGAUGAGUUCACCGGCUCCACCAUUCUCUCAAAAUCUCUUCACUGUAAGUCAAAAUUCACUCCAAUCCGAUGUCGGAUCGGGUAGAUUUCGGAGACGGUGGGAAGCAAUACUUAGAGAUCUCCUCUCUUCGAGCCAAUCAGAGCUAAAACGCCGUCGUCGGCAGCCGCCGGAGUUGAUGGAGAUAGAUAGGUUUGAAGAUCUAUGUAAAUGACGGAAUGUGAAAUACGGGGAGAUGCAACGUUUAUGAUACAGUAAAACGAAAUACCGUAUCAGUUUACGGUGGAAAUCACCGGAGAUGGAG